CCCAUUUUUUCCUCCUUUUCCUCCAUUUUUCCAAAUUUUCCCCAUUUUUCCCUAUUUUUUCCUCAAUUUCCCCCCAAUUUUCCUCUUUUUCCCCAUUUUCCCCAUUUUUCCCCCAAUUUUUCCUCCGUUUUUCCCAAUUUCUCCCAUUUUUUCCCUCCAUUUUCCCCUCAAUUUUUCCCCCAUUUUUCCCAAUUUUCCUUGGUUUUUUCCACCACUUUUUCCCCAUUUCCCCCCCCCAUUUUCCCUCAAUUUUUUCCUCAAUUUUUCCUCCCCAUUUUUUCCCCAUUUUCCCCCCAUUUUUCUCCACUUUUUCCUCCAUUUUCCCCUCAAAAAUUUCCUCAAUUUUCCCCCAAUUUUCCCCCCAUUUUUCCUCCAUUUUUUCUCCCAUUUUUCCCCACUUCUUCCCCACUUUUUCCUCCAUUUUCCCCUCAAAUUUUUCCUCAAUUUUUCCCAACUUCCCCCAUUUUUUUCCUCAAUUUUUUCCUUCCAUUUUUUUCCCAAUUUUUCCCAUUUUUCCUCCACUUUUUCCCCAUUUUUCCCUCAAUUUUUUCCCAUUUUCCCUCCAUUUUUUCCUCCAUUUUUCCCAAUUUUCCCCAUUUUUUCUUCCAAUUUGUCCCUCCAAUUUUUUUCCUAUUUUUCCCCAUUUUCCCCCCACUUUUCCCCCAUUUUCCCCUCAAAUUUUCCCUCAAUUUUUCCCAAUUUCCCCCAUUUCUUCCUCCAUUUUUUUCCAUUUUUUCCCCAUUUUUCCCCAUUUGCCCCCAUUUUUUUCCCCAUUUUCCCUCAAUUUUUCCCUCUUUUUUCCCCCAUUUUCCCCCCAUUUUCCCUCAAUUUUUCCCUUUUUUCCCCCAUUUUUCCCCCCAUUUUUUUCCCAUUUUUUCCCCCAUUUUUUUCCCCAUUUUUUUCCUCCAUUUUUUCCUCCAUUUUUUUCCCAUUUUUUUCNNNNNNNNNNNNNNNNNNNNCUCCAUUUUUCCCAAUUUCCCCCCAUUUUUUCCCCCAUUUUCCCUCAAUUUUUUCCUCCCUUUUCCCCAUUUUUCCCCAUUUUUCCCCCCUCCAGGAUUCCCCCCCACCCCAAAGAAUCCACUCAGAAUUGCGAAAUUAAGAAUUUUUAUCCCAAAUCUGCAGCGCUGCAGAAUUCCAGCUUUUCUUGGGUUUUUUUUUUUCCUCUUUUUGGUUUUUUUGGGAAUCCCAAAAUCCUGAGGGAGUUCCCAGCUGGAAUCACAACCAAAAAAAAAUUAAAAAUUCCCAAGAUUUUCUUCUUUUUUUCCUUUUUUUUUUUUUUUUUUUUUUUGUUUUUUUUUUUUUUUUUUUUUUUNNNNNNNNNNNNNNNNNNNNAAAGUCUCGGAUCCAACGCCGGGAAAACCCAAAAGAAAAAAAACUUUCAAAAAAUCCCAAACUUGGAAAAAAUCCCCCCAAAAAUUAAAAAAAAAAUUAAAAUUUAAAAAACAAAAUUUAAAAAAAAAUUAAAAAAAAAUUUAAAAAAUUCCCCACCCAAAAAAAAAAAAANNNNNNNNNNNNNNNNNNNNNNAAAAAAAAAAAAAAACCCU
rnacentral:lncRNA from 1 species